rnacentral:rRNA from 1 species
UGAUCAUGGCUCAGAUUGAACGCUGGCGGUAUGCUUAACACAUGCAAGUCGAACGGAAACGAUGGAAGCUUGCUUCCAGGCGUCGAGUGGCGGACGGGUGAGUAACGCGUAGGAAUCUGCCAGAUAGUGGGGGAUAGCCCGGAGAAAUCCGGAUUAAUACCGCAUAAUCUCCAUGGAGUAAAGAGGGCCUCUAUUUAUAAGCUUUCGCUAUCUGAUGAGCCUGCGUAAGAUUAGCUAGUUGGUGGGGUAAUGGCCUACCAAGGCGACGAUCUUUAGCUGGUCUGAGAGGAUGAUCAGCCACACUGGGACUGAGACACGGCCCAGACUCCUACGGGAGGCAGCAGUGGGGAAUAUUGGACAAUGGGGGCAACCCUGAUCCAGCAAUACCGCGUGUGUGAAGAAGGCCUGAGGGUUGUAAAGCACUUUCAAUUGUGAAGAAAAGUUAAUAGUUAAUACCUAUUAGCCUUGACGUUAACUUUAGAAGAAGCACCGGCUAACUCCGUGCCAGCAGCCGCGGUAAUACGGAGGGUGCAAGCGUUAAUCGGAAUUACUGGGCGUAAAGCGUGCGUAGGCGGUUGACUAAGUCAGAUGUGAAAGCCCCGGGCUUAACCUGGGAACUGCAUUUGAAACUGGUCAACUAGAGUAUGGUAGAGGAAAGUGGAAUUUCUGGUGUAGCGGUGAAAUGCGUAGAUAUCAGAAGGAACAUCGAUGGCGAAGGCAGCUUUCUGGACCAAUACUGACGCUGAGGUACGAAAGCGUGGGUAGCAAACAGGAUUAGAUACCCUGGUAGUCCACGCCGUAAACGAUGAUAACUAGCCGUUGGGAGGGUUUA